rnacentral:tRNA from 1 species
GGAGGUUUAUGUCAAUGGUAGAUCAUGUGCUUUAUGUAUACAAGAUCCUGGGUUCAAUCCCCAAUACUGUAA